UGGGUUAGUCCGCACGAGCGCACCCCUACCUUUAUUGCCAUCAGUAAUGUUGGGCACUCUAGAGGGACUGCCGGCGUUAAGCAGGAGGAAGGUGGGGAUGACGUCAAGUCCUCAUGGCCCUUAUGUCCAGGGCUACACACGUGCUACAAUGGGCGGUACAGAGGGUAGCCAACCCGCAAGGGGGAGCCAAUCCCAGAAAGCCGUCCUCAGUUCGGAUCGGAGUCUGCAACUCGACUCCGUGAAGUCGGAAUCGCUAGUAAUCGCGGAUCAGCAUGCCGCGGUGAAUACGUUCCCGGGCCUUGUACACACCGCCCGUCACACCAUGGGAGUUAGAUGUACCGGAAGUCGGUGAGCCAACCUUCGGGGGGCAGCCGCCUAUGGUAUGGCUGAUGACUGGGGUGAAGUCGUAACAAGGUAGCCGUAGGGGAACCUGCGGCUGGAUCACCUCCUUUCU
rnacentral:rRNA from 1 species